GAUAGGAUUAGGUGGCUUUGAAGUUGACAAAACAAAACCUGCACCACAUGUAAUAAUAAGUUGUUUUCUACUUUGUUAUUUCUGAAAUUUGACACUUCACUUCUGUGGGCUAAAUUCUAAUACCUUAAAACCCCUCAAUAAACCUUGUUCUUUUCAUCUUUUCUUUAAGAAGGCUUUCAGUUUUGAAAUUUUGCAAUCAGUGUUUCUCUGUCUCAUUAUCUCUGUUGAGCCAAGUGAUGCAGCUAGUGGAUCCAUUUCACGUAUGAAUAAAAGAAGAUCCUCCAAUUGAAGUAAUCCAAAUAACAAUCAAUGAAGUUAAUUUUGUCGUGCAGUUGUAUUAGAUAAUUAAGUAUAGUAAUUGCUUGAAUGGAUGUAGUAGAUCCUUUAUGAUUAAUCGUUGGAAUGAAUGUGCUUAAUGUUUA